rnacentral:rRNA from 1 species
UACGGAGGGUGCAAGCGUUAAUCGGAAUUACUGGGCGUAAAGCGCGCGUAGGUGGUUGAUAGCGAGAUGUGAAAGCCCCGGGCUUAACCUGGGAACGGCAUUUCGAACUGUCAGGCUAGAGUAUGGUAGAGGAGUUGUGGAAGUUUACCUGG